AGAGUUUGAUCCUGGCUCAGGACGAACGCUGGCGGCGUGCUUAACACAUGCAAGUCGAACGGAAAGGCCCUUCGGGGUACUCGAGUGGCGAACGGGUGAGUAACACGUGGGUGAUCUGCCCUGCACUUUGGGAUAAGCCUGGGAAACUGGGUCUAAUACCGAAUAUGACCGCGCACUUCCUGGUGUGUGGUGGAAAGCUUUUGCGGUGUGGGAUGGGCCCGCGGCCUAUCAGCUUGUUGGUGGGGUAAUGGCCUACCAAGGCGACGACGGGUAGCCGGCCUGAGAGGGUGACCGGCCACACUGGGACUGAGAUACGGCCCAGACUCCUACGGGAGGCAGCAGUGGGGAAUAUUGCACAAUGGGCGCAAGCCUGAUACAGCGACGCCGCGUGAGGGAUGACGGCCUUCGGGUUGUAAACCUCUUUCAAUAGGGACGAAGCGCAAGUGACGGUACCUAUAGAAGAAGGACCGGCCAACUACGUGCCAGCCGCCGCGGUAAUUC
rnacentral:rRNA from 1 species